GAUUCGUACAAAAAUCAGAUUUAAAUUUGUAAUUCUGUUAUAAUUAUUUUUCGUUCCAUGAUAUUAACUAAUAUUAUAACGUUAUCUUUUGAAGUUGUCUCAUUGGUUUAUUGUGCGGAUUGUGGAUUACCCGACUCUUCAUCUGAAAGGCGUAACGAUGAUCUAUAGAUUUGAAGGUACCAGAAGAAAUUAGUCAAUGAAGAGAGACUGGUGUCUAGGAACAUUUGGAUCUCCAAAAAUAGAUACAGCUGAAGCACACCCUAACAUUCAAUUGACCGAAAGUUUACGAAUAGUGAACAUGUUCCGGAUGUCUGUACAAUAAAUCUUAAUCUGAGUUUAAUAGAUAAAAACGCCGGCGUCAAGUGUGACAAAUGUUUUAUAAAGUCACCUUGUGGAUCUCUUAUUUCAUCCGUCAGACAAUUUCCUUUCUCGUUUCAAAUGUUGUAAGGAGUUUCUGAAGUGUAAAUUGUUCAUCCGGGACACUAAUGGAACGAGAUAUUCGUGGUGAUAUCACAGAGUUUGGUAAAAGUGUUUCUUCUCUGGUUUUAAUGUCAGAUUAACCGUUGUAAACGGAUAUUAAAACAUUAAAUAUUGAGGAAUAAUAAUUUGUUGAUCAGGAUUGUCAUCUAUCCGAUGUUUUCUCAUAGGAAAAUCAAAACAAAUCUAUAGAUCAUCUUUAUUUAAUUAUAUGACUGACGGAAAUUAAAUAAUAACUUUAUGGCACAAAUAAUCAAGAAUAUUCAUAUUUGCACUGGAAGCAGUAAAACACAAGUAACUUUUUAUAUGGACAUACGUGUAGGUCAGUCUAGGUCAGAUAUAUUAUUCAUUCGUAAUACGUUAUUAAAUGUAAUUAGAUGCACCUUUUACAGUGUAUGACUGCCUUUCGUU